CCAGAGUCAUUAUUUCCUAUUUUAGAGCCCGGAGCUCUCGACCCAGAGUCACUUUCCAUUUCGACCCAGAGUCAUUCUUUCCUAUUUUAGAGCUCGGAGCUCUCGACCCAGAGUCACUUUCCAUUUUGACCCAGAGUCAUUCUUUCCUAUUUUAGAGCCUGGAGCUCUCGACCUAGAGUCAUUUUCCAUUACGGCCCAGAGUCAUUCCUUUCCAUUUAGAGCCCGGAGCUCUCGACCCAGAGUUACUUUCCAUUUCGACCUAGAGUCAUUAUUUUCUAUUUUAGAGCUUGGAGCUCUCGACCCAGAGUCAUUUUCCAUUACGGCCCAGAGUUAUUUCUUUUCCAUUUAGAGCCUAAGGCUCUCGACCUAGAGUCGUUUUCCAUCUUGACCCAGAGUCAUUCUUUCCGAUUAGAGCCCUGAGCUCAUGACCCAGAGUCUUUUAUCCUAUUUUAGAUCCAGAGUCGUUCACCUUGUC
rnacentral:lncRNA from 1 species